rnacentral:tRNA from 1 species
CCAGGGCUGGCUCAGUUGGGUAGAGCAUGUGACUUUGGAUCUCAAGGUUGUAAGUUUAAGCCCUACUUUGGG